ACUUCUUAGGAGGGGGUGGAGGAGAGUGGUAAACUGGGUGUGGGUGAGGGUAAGGCUUGUGCACUGGUGGUGGGGGAGAUGGGUAUUUGUAUGGCUUCUUUGGUGGUGGAGGUGGUGGGGAGUGGUAGAUUGGGUGAGGGUGAGGGUGAGGGUGUGGGUGAGGGUAAUGGUGAGGAGGGGGUGGAGGAGAUUGGUAGACUGGGUGUGGAUGAGGGUAGGGCUUGUGCACUGGUGGUGGUGGAGAUUGGUAGACUGGGUGUGGAUGAGGGUAGGGCUUGUGCACUGGUGGUG
rnacentral:lncRNA from 1 species